rnacentral:rRNA from 1 species
AGAGUUUGAUCCUGGCUCAGAUUGAACGCUGGCGGCAUGCUUUACACAUGCAAGUCGAACGGCAGCACGAAAGAGCUUGCUCUUUUGGUGGCGAGUGGCGAACGGGUGAGUAAUGCAUCGGAACGUACCGAGUAAUGGGGGAUAACUAUCCGAAAGGAUAGCUAAUACCGCAUACGCUUUGAGAAGGAAAGUGGGGGCUCUUCGGACCUCACGUUAUUCGAGCGGCCGAUGUCUGAUUAGCUAGUUGGUGGGGUAAAGGCCUACCAAGGCGACGAUCAGUAGCGGGUCUGAGAGGAUGAUCCGCCACACUGGGACUGAGACACGGCCCAGACUCCUACGGGAGGCAGCAGUGGGGAAUUUUGGACAAUGGGCGCAAGCCUGAUCCAGCCAUGCCGCGUGUCUGAAGAAGGCCUUCGGGUUGUAAAGGACUUUUGUUAGGGAAGAAAAGGAUAGUGUUAAUACCAUUAUCUGCUGACGGUACCUAAAGAAUAAGCACCGGCUAACUACGUGCCAGCAGCCGCGGUAAUACGUAGGGUGCGAGCGUUAAUCGGAAUUACUGGGCGUAAAGCGAGCGCAGACGGUUUAUUAAGCAAGAUGUGAAAUCCCCGAGCUUAACUUGGGAACUGCGUUUUGAACUGGUAAGCUAGAGUAUGUCAGAGGGGGGUAGAAUUCCACGUGUAGCAGUGAAAUGCGUAGAGAUGUGGAGGAAUACCGAUGGCGAAGGCAGCCCCCUGGGAUAAUACUGACGUUCAUGCUCGAAAGCGUGGGUAGCAAACAGGAUUAGAUACCCUGGUAGUCCACGCCCUAAACGAUGUCAAUUAGCUGUUGGGGCACUUGAUGCCUUAGUAGCGAAGCUAACGCGUGAAAUUGACCGCCUGGGGAGUACGGUCGCAAGAUUAAAACUCAAAGGAAUUGACGGGGACC